rnacentral:rRNA from 1 species
CUAGCCCUGAAACUGGAUGGCGCUCAAGCGUCCUCCCGAUACUCGACCGUCGGGGCAGUAACGGCCCUCGCGGGUCUCGAAGCCCCGACGAGUAGGAGGGUCGUGGCGGUGAGCGUUGAAGGGACCUGCGUGAGCAGGCCUGGAGCCGCCGCUAGUGCAGAUCUUGGUGGUAGUAGCAAAUACUCGAGUGAGAUCCUUGAGGACUGACCGUGGAGAAGGGUUCCAUGUGAACAUCAGUUGAACAUGGGUUAGUCGGUCCUAAGCCUCAGCCGAAAGGCGUCUCAGCGCUGGCAAGGUGUCAAUCCCAAACUCUCUGGAGGCCCGUAAAAAAGGCCGACGGAGGGGACGCCCGGGCGACCGCACCCGAGACGCACGGGCACUACCAGGCCUCUUUCCUCGCCCCUCGGGGCGUAGGUGGCCGGCCCGGACGCAGUAGGGCACGGUCCGAGAUGGCGUCCUGUUUCCUCCCCCUCGCGGGGGAGGGUCAGGCGUUUGCCGAUCAGCCGUUGUAGAUUUGUAGGCGAAAGGGAAUCUGGUACUUAUUCCAAAACCUCGUCCCGGAUAAAACGUCCCCGAGCGCUCGCGCGAGGGUAUAACGGUCCUGGUAACGGGAAUGACCCUGCAUACACUGGCGGCGGUCCGGGGAAGAGUUUUCUUUUCUGUUUAAGACUCCGUGACCCUGGAAGCUACUCGCAAGGCGAUAGGGUCGUGGUAGCGUAGAGCGCCGCGGUUCUUGCGGCGUCCCGUGCGCCGUCGUCGGUCCUUGAAAAUGCAGGCGAGGGCGGAAACCCAAGGUCGCAGCACUACGUGCACCCGUUGCAUGGAAGUUGCCUCCGACGGGGUAGUAAGCUCUCUGACGUCGACUGGUACCAAGGAAGAGAGAUGGAACCUCGCGUUCCGCUCCGAUCCCGUAACACCAGAUCUCCUGUCCGGUCACGUUGGCGGAGUGAGGGACCCUCGCGGUCCCUCUCACCCCUUCACGGACUUUCGGGCGAGCCCGUACCCAUAUCCGCAGCAGGUCUCCAAGGUGAAUAGCCUCUAGUCGAUAGAUUAAUGUAGGUAAGGGAAGUCGGCAAAUUA